rnacentral:rRNA from 1 species
UACGAAGGGGGCUAGCGUUGCUCGGAAUCACUGGGCGUAAAGCGCACGUAGGCGGAUCUUUAAGUCAGGGGUGAAAUCCUGGAGCUCAACUCCAGAACUGCCUUUGAUACUGAGGAUCUUGAGUCCGGGAGAGGUGAGUGGAACUCCGAGUGUAGAGGUGAAAUUCGUAGAUAUUCGGAGGAACACCAGUGGCGAAGGCGGCUCACUGGUCCGGUACUGACGCUGAGGUGCGAAAGCGUGGGGAGCAAACAGG